CUGUGUUCACCCUGCAGGUCAGUUCUGAUGUUUUAACCAUCUGUGACUCAUAUCUGAUGUUUUCAUCUAAGUGUGAACAGGUCAGUUCUGAUUGGUUCUGAUCCGACCCUCUUCUGUAUGUGGAUAUAAAUCAGAUAUGUAUCUGAUGUGACUGCAGUGUGACGCUCAGGUCGCGUUUAUCCGACCUUUACGUCAUCAAUAUGAGACAAACGUCACCAUUGUUCAACAACACAAACAGGAGCGGAGAGAUAUUUGUGUUUUGUGUUCAUGUGGGUCACUUCAUGAACGUAUUUGUUGUUGUAAAGUGAACGACGCACAAGAAGAUCGGAUUGAACAAAAAUCUGAAUUGUGGAUCAGAACCUGCAGAGUGAACAUAGACU